ensembl:snRNA U6 U6 spliceosomal RNA
GUGCUUGCUUGACAGCACAUAUACUAAAAUUGGAAUGUUACAGAGAAGAUUAGCAAGGUCCCUGGGCAAGGAUGACAUGCAAAUUUGUGAAGUGUUCCGAAAGAAA